AGUUCGGAUUGUAGGCUGCAACUCGCCUACAUGAAGUCGGAAUUGCUAGUAAUCGCGGAUCAGCAUGCCGCGGUGAAUACGUUCCCGGGCCUUGUACACACCGCCCGUCACACCAUGGGAGUCGGUAACACCCGAAGCCUGUAGUCUAACCGCAAGGGGGACGCAGUCGAAGGUGGGAUUGAUGACUGGGGUGAAGUCGUAACAAGGUAUC
rnacentral:rRNA from 1 species